UGGGAUGUUUUUUAUUAUGUUAGAGUUGUCUGUGGGGGUUUUACACCAACAUUAUUCUACUGGGAAAAUAGUGCUAAAAAAGAGUAUUUUAAAACA
rnacentral:misc_RNA from 1 species